ensembl:snRNA U6 U6 spliceosomal RNA
GUGCUCACUUCAGCAGCACAUAUACUAAAAUUGGAACAAUGCAGAGAAGAUUAGCAUGGCCCCUGCACAAGGAUGACAUGCAAAUUCAUGAAGCAUUCCAUAGUGUU